CGGAGGACCGACCCCCAACCACUGCCCUCGCUCGCAGACACACGAGAGAGCCGCCCGCCCGCCCGCCCGCGACACGCUCCCCCGAGAUCUCCCCACAGCCCGCGGCAGCAGAUCCGCGCGGCCGGCGAGAUCCCCGCCCCGGAUCCCGGCCAUGGCGGGGAUGGAGGCCUUCGAGGCCUACUUCCGCCGCGCCGACUUGAACCAGGACGGCCGCAUCAGCGGCCAGGAGGCCGUCGCCUUCUUCCAGGGCGCCAGCCUGCCGCAGCAGGUCCUCGCCCAGGUGUGGAUGCACGCCGAUCAGAGCAAGACCGGCUUCCUCGGCCGGCCGGAGUUCUUCAACGCGCUGCGGCUCGUCACCGUGGCGCAGAGCGGGCGCCAGCUCACACCCGACAUAGUGCAGUCCGCGCUAUAUGGCCCUGCAGCUGCCAGAAUUCCGCCUCCGAAGAUUGCCGGCGGGCCGGCCCCUCCGCAGGCGGCCGCUGGUGCUCCUAGGCCCCAAGGUAAUGCUGCUGCGCCGGCACCCGCUCCGGGGCAGGCUGGAGCUGCGCAGAUGAAUCCGGCAGCCGCUGCGCCGAGGCCCCAGGGAAGUGGUAUGAUGCCGACUUCUGCUGCUGCUCCGAGGCCCCAGGGAAGCGGUAUGAUGCCGACUUCUGCUGCUGCUCCGAGGCCCCAGGGAAGCGGUAUGAUGCCGACUUCAACUCAAUUUGCCGGUGCACCGCAGGCGAGCGCCGGAGCUGUUCCGAGACCACAAGGCGUCAACUCGAUGAUGCCGGCUGCAAGUCAGGGCGGCGCCAUGCCGCCAAAUCAGUUUACGGCGCCGAGGGGCAUUCAGUCACAAUCUCCCAACAUGGGUUAUGCUCAGCAGCUCCUCGGUUCAAGCACUGGUUUCAUGAGGCCACCACCUCAGGUGGGAGCUCCUGCAACAUCACUUCAAGCAACCGGAAUGAAUCAAAGUCCACUGGGUGGAGGCAGCAUGGGAGGAUCAGUUGGCUGGCAAGGGGGUAAUGUUGGUUCAUUUGGAGGUAUCUCACAACCCUCUCCAGGAGCAGCUGUUCCUUCACAGACAACAUCAGGUGGAUUUGGUCUUGGAAUGUCGAGCUCAAUGAGCAUGGUUCCUGGACAGCAGACACAUGCAAUGUCCUCUUCAUCGUUGCCUCCACAGAGCAACAGUGCUGUAUUGCCUUCAGAUUCAAGAGCUUUGGUGCUAUCUGGAAAUGGCCCUGCCAGUGGCUCAGGAGCAAGCACUGACAUCUUCUCUGCUCUUACUCAGCCAAAGCCAAGUACAUCCACACCUGCACUUCCGACCAGCAAGAUGCCCAACUCAUCGAGCUUUAUGUCCAAGCCGACUGGCUCCCAGAACCUGGCUAAUCUAACACAGCCUGGUUCUCUCCAAGGUACUCCAACAGUGAGUUACGGCACCAGCCAACCUCAGCAGACACAGCCCAUCACAAAGCCAAGUGUUCCAUCUCCAGGUGUUUCUGCCGGCGUUUCUAAUUCCACUUCUCAAUGGCCAAAAGUUACUCAAUCCGAUAUCCAGAAGUACACGAAAGUCUUUGGGGAUGUGGAUAGGGACAGAGAUGGCAAAAUAACUGGCGCAGAAGCUCGCACUCUGUUUCUCAGUUGGAGACUUCCAAGAGAUGUACUGAAGCAAGUGUGGGACUUGUCUGGAUAAUGACGGCAUGCUUUCUCUGAGAGAGUUUUGCAUUGCUCUUUAUUUAAUGGAGAGGAACCGAGCUGGAACUCCUCUGCCUCCAUCGCUCCCUGACUCUCUUAAAUUUGAUGAGACACUGUUACGAGCAACAGGCUUGCCUUCUACAGCUUACAAUGCCCCAUCAUGGCAGCCUAAUCAAGGAUUACUGCAUAGGGGACCUGGCGCACCUGGGUUGCCUACUGGUGGUGUACGGCCACCCUUGCCUCAAAUGCAUUCACAGACUGAUGGAGCAACAAGACCAGGGCAACCAAGACCUCACAUGCCUGGUAUGGAUAAUCAUGCAGCAGCUCAAGGAAUUAAAGAUGACAGAAGUGGGGUAAACUCAGCUGCACAGGAGGCUCCUAAGAAGGUUGAGGUGGAGAAGCAGGUCCUAGACUCCAGAGAGAAAUUAGAGUACUACCGCUCGAAAAUGCAAGAUCUUGUUCUGUAUAAAAGUCGAUGUGACAAUAGACUGAAUGAGAUCACAGAAAGGGCGUCUUCUGAUAAACGUGAGGUGGAAUUGUUGUCUAAGAAAUAUGAAGAAAAAUACAAGCAAGUGGCAGAGUUAGCUUCCAAACUGGCAGUUGAGGAAGCCGCUUUCCGUGAUGUUCAGGAGAGGAAAGUUGAGCUGAAUGAUGCAUUAAUUAAAAUGGUACAAGGUGGAAGUGUUGAUGGUUUGCUUCAGGUUCGAGCUGAUCGAAUCCAACAUCAAUUAGAGGAGAUGGAGAAAGCUUUUAACGAACGGUGCAAGCACUUUGGACUGCAAUUCAAGCCAUCUGCAACAGUCGAGCUUCCAUUUGGUUGGGAACCUGGGCAGCAAGAGGGAGCAGUUGAGUGGGAUGAAGACUGGGAUAAAUUUGAGGAUGAAGGGUUUGGUCUUGUAAAGGACAAUGGUACAAUUGUCGAAAACCCAGCUUCUGCUGACAUUGCAAAUGCAUCAUCUCUUUGGGAUGACGGUGUCUCUACGGAUGGGAUGUCCCCUGUUGCAUCUUCUAAUGGUCAUAUCAAGGAUGUGAGACAUUACAGAGCUGGUGAUCAAGCGCCUGAGAGUGAAUUAGCAUAUGAUUUUGGUGAUGAACCUGUAAGGAGCCCCGGCAGUGCUGGAAGAAGUGCCUCUGGGAGUCCAUUUAAGUCUUCUCGUUUUGGGGUGCAUGACUCGUCUCCCACGAAAAAAGGAACCUACAGUGACCAUGGUGGCUCUGAGUCCGUUUUUGGAGAUAAUUAUGGUGAUGAGACUACAUGGAACUUUGAUGACCAAGAUACUGAAUCAGUUUGGGGAUCUAAUGCAAUGAAUGAGCCUGGACAUCAUGGAAGCAACUCUUUCUUUGGGUCAGAUGACUUCAAUGUGGACCCUGUUAGAGUGGGCUCUCCAACUGGCGCUAGUGCCUAUGGAAAGAAGAGCACAUUCUUUGACGAUUCCGUCCCAAGUUCCCCUGCAUACACGUCUGGAUUCUCACCGAAGUUCGGUGAAAGUCGUGACGAUAGCUCCUCCUACAACUUCGGAAGGUUCGAUUCCUUCAGAUCCCAAGACAGCGCCGUCCCACAGGAAAGCCGCUUUUCCAGGUUUGACUCAGUAACCAGCUCCAAAGGCGAGAGCGCGGCGGGAUUUGACUCGUCAAACAGCUCGAGAAAUUUCGGCCGGUUCGAUUCUUUUGAUGAAGCCGAUCCUUUUGGCUCGACCGGGCCUUUUAAAGCAUCAGGAGCGCGGUCGCCCCCCAAAUUCUGAUAUUCAUUUGUGGUAUUACGAGGAUUUGUCUCUUGCGGGCUCAUUUGUCGAUACAAGGCUCGGAUUGUUCGAGGAAAGUACAAUACAGCGGAUCCAUUUUUUUUUGGUUGGCAAGCCUCUUGUGUUGGCCUUGUGUGCAUUUUUCCUGUCCUCCACCCCCCACCCCCCACGUACAAAGUGGACAUUUUUUUUGGUCGUGCUCUGUAAAGUAUCCCGAGAUUGUUCUCUGUUUAUAGUGGCCUGUAUCCUUGGAACAACAGCUACUCAUCGUGUGCGGUUCCUGUUUCUUUCUUUUUUGUACAAUAUACAAACGUCAAAUUGGUACGUACUAGACUAGAAGAUGACUCCCUUC